CUUACCCUGGGCCUGUCCCCUGGCUUUACCCCACAGCUGGAACCACCCUUAACCUGGCCCUGUCCCCUGGCUUUACCCCACAGCCGGAACCACACUUACCCUGGCCCUGUCCCCUGGAUUUACCCCACAGCUGGGACCACCCUUAUCCUGGCCCUGUCCCCUGGCUUUACCCCACCCUGGAACCACAUUACCCUGGCCUGUCCCCUGGCUUUACCCCACAGCUGGAACCACCCUUACCCUGGCCCUGUCCACUGGCUUUACCCCACAGCUGGACCCACACUUACCCUGGCCCUGUCCCCUGGCUUUACCCCACAGCUGGAACCACACUUCCCUGGCCCUAUCCCCUGGCUUUACCCCACAGCUGGAACCCCACUUACCCUGGCUUUACUCCACCGCAACCCGGCCUUGUCCCUGUUCCCCUGGCUUUAACCCACAGCAACCUGGCCUUGUCCCUGUCCCCUGGCUUUACCCCACAGCUGGAACCACCAUUCAUCUGGCCUUGUCCCCUGGCUUUACCCCACAGCUGGAACCACCCUUACCCUGGCCCUGUCCCCUGGCUUUACCCCACAGCUGGAACCACCCUUAUCCUGGCCCUGUCCCCUGGCUUUACCCCACAGCUGGAAAGUAACCCUACCCUGGCCCUCGUCCCCGGCUUACCCCACCUGGAACCACCCCUUUACCUGGCCCUGUCCCCGGCUUUACUCCACAGCAACCCUGGCCUGUCCUGUCCCCUGGCUUUACCCACAGCUGGAAACCACCCUUAUCCUGGCCCUGUCCCCUGGCUUUACCCACAGCUGGAACCAACACUUACCCUGGCCCUGUCCCCUGGCUUUACCCCACAGCUGGAACCACCACUUACCUGGCCCUGUCCCCUGGCUUUACUCCACAGCAAACCCUGGCCCUUGUCCCUGUCCCCUGGCUUUACCCCACAGCAACCCUGGCCUUGUCCCUGUCCCCUGGCUUUACCCCACAGCAACCCUGGCCUUGUCCCUGUCCCCUGGCUUUACCCCACAGCUGGAACCACCCUCAUCCUGGCCCUGUCCCUGGCUUUACCCACAGCUGGAACCACCUUACCCUGGCCCUGUCCCCUGGCUUACCCCACAGCUGGAACCCACUUACCCUGGCCCUGUCCCCUGGCUUUACUCCACAGCAACCCUGGCCUUUUCCCUGUCCCCUGGCUUUACCCCACUAGCAACCCCUGGCCCUGUCCCCUGGCUUUACCCCACAGCUGGAACCACCCUUACCCUGGCCUUGUCCCCUGGCUUUACCCCACAGCUGGAACCACCCUUAUCCUGGCC
rnacentral:lncRNA from 1 species